CAGGCUGACAGAGAAUGAUGUUUUCAGUUUAGUCACAGGACACAGCACAGUCUGUCAUGGUACAAUCUCCACCGCUAAUGUGCUUUAACUCUGCAGUGGAAGAAUCGCUUCUAAAGGGCAGAGGGCAGUUCAGUCUCCAUGCCCAUUCAAUCCCUGCCUUCU
rnacentral:sRNA from 1 species